rnacentral:tRNA from 1 species
UCCGUCGUAGCGCAGUGGGACUGUGUUUCACUGUAAAUGCGAUAGUUGUGGGUUCAAUCCACUCGGGGGAA